GUGAAGGCUGAAUGAGAGACCAUAGUGGCGCCGAAGGAGCAAGGGGAACCGAAACUCUCAGGCAAAAAGAAUUCAGCUGGACG
rnacentral:ncRNA from 1 species